UAGGGAAUCUUCGGCAAUGGGGGCAACCCUGACCGAGCAACGCCGCGUGAGUGAAGAAGGUUUUCGGAUCGUAAAGCUCUGUUGUAAGAGAAGAACGUGUGUGAGAGUGGAAAGUUCACACAGUGACGGUAACUUACCAGAAAGGGACGGCUAACUACGUGCCAGCAGCCGCGGUAAUACGUAGGUCCCGAGCGUUGUCCGGAUUUAUUGGGCGUAAAGCGAGCGCAGGCGGUUUAAUAAGGCUGAAGUUAAAGGCAGUGGCUUAACCAUUGUUCGCUUUGGAAACUGUUAAACUUGAGUGCAGAAGGGGAGAGUGGAAUUCCAUGUGUAGCGGUGAAAUGCGUAGAUAUAUGGAGGAACACCGGUGGCGAAAGCGGCUCUCUGGUCUGUAACUGACGCUGAGGGUCGAAAGGGUGGGGAGCAAACAGG
rnacentral:rRNA from 1 species